UCCCUCUUCUAUUUCCAUUCCUUCCUAGGACUUCCUGAUCAUGUUUGUGCAUCACUUGGUCACCAUUGGGCUUAUCUCCUUCUCCUACAUCAACAAUAUGGUUCGAGUGGGAACUCUGAUCAUGUGUCUACAUGAUGUCUCAGACUUCUUGCUGGAGGCAGCCAAACUGGCCAAUUAUGCCAAGUAUCAGCGGCUCUGUGACACCCUUUUUGUGAUCUUCAGUGCUGUUUUUAUGGUUACACGACUAGGAAUCUAUCCAUUCUGAACACAAGAACCCUAUUGCCCUGCUUUUACCUUAGCCUGUGCUGACCUUCUGUGGACUCUCACAGGACCUCUGCUGCCUCACACCGUAUUUCUAGCAAGGUCGGAUCCAGACUCAGAGUACCCGGCUUGGUUGGCUUCUCAGGACUGACUCAUCUCAGGAACAGUCCUCAUUUUAUGCCUAAGAUUCUGAACACGACCCUCUUUGAGAGCUGGGAGAUAAUCGGGCCUUAUGCUUCAUGGUGGCUCCUCAAUGGCCUGCUGCUGACCCUACAGGUUCUGCAUGUCAUCUGGUCCUACCUAAUUGCACGGAUUGCUUUGAAAGCCUUGAUCAGGGGAAAGGUGAGGAUGAAAGAUGGCUUCUUUCUUUUGGGUAUGGAAGAUAGGGAUUACUCAACAGACGUUCUCUCUCCAUCAAACCUGGUGAGCCCCAUCUACUCAAGCAGGCCAAGCAAAAAGCCUAGGGCUCCAAAGUCUUCACCUCUUCGGUGACCUGUCCAGGAAGGAUUAGACCCUGUACUCUCCAUUCUUUCCUCACCUCCUUCCUUUUUUCUAUGCCUGGCAGGAGCUGGACAGUUUCAUCUCUUGCAUGUAUCGAAGGAUGACCGCAGUGAUGUGGAGAGCAGCUCAGAGGAAGAAGAUGUGACCACCUGCACAAAAAGUCCCUGUGACAGUAGCUCCAGCAAUGGUGCCAAUCGGGUGAAUGGUCACAUGGGAGGCAGCUACUGGGCUGAAGAGUAAGGUGGUUGCUAUGGGGACUUCAGCACACAUGGACUUGUAGGGCCACUGGCAACAUACUCCUCUUGGCCCUUCCCAUAUCUACUCUUCUGUGAUUGGGAGACUGCAAGGCACUGAGGAGUAUCAAAGAAGCAAAUAUUUUCACUUUGAAAGAAAACUGCCAUUUUGUAUUUAAUAGUCUCCAGGUUCUUUCAGUAAUGUUAUUUGCUCUGUGUGUUUUUGUGUGUUUGUUGAUGUGCGUUUGUGCAUAUGCGUGAGUUUCAUUGCCGGGUUGGGGCACAAUUGUGGACUGGGGCCGUGAGGCCUUCCCUGGUCCCCACUGAACCCACCUUAGUUCCACAUUUGGCUGCAUCUUGAAUUAUGCCGACUCCAGACUGUCUCCUCCUUUUUUGCCCUUGGCUCUUGACACUCUAAACCCCUGGACCAUCUGAAUGGAGCAGUCAAGUGCAGUCCCAGAUUUCUGUACUGUUCCUCUUUCACAGCUGGAAUAUGUCACAUGAUGAAGUUGUAUAGAAACAGAACCAUGGAUGGAUGGCCAGGAUUGCCGUGGUCCCUAGCUAGAUCCCCUUCCUAUCAAUCACCUGAUAGCAACAGGGACAGCUGCCAAUACCCUGCUCUUUACUCAAUGGUACCCAGGGAGGGAGCAUGGGAAGAGGGUGAGCUGAGGGCUGGGGGAGGGCAACAGCCACUGGGUGAGCUGUUCACGGUCUUAUACUAUUGUUUGUGAUUAAAAGUGCUUCAACCCACCUCUACUGUCUCAACCUCUUCAGUGACUCUAUCUGCAGUUUCCUGAAUCCAUAAGCUAAUUAAGAGCUUUUCCAGGUCUGAUUCAAAAGGCCCUGGACACCAAAUUUUUCCUUUCUGUGCAUGGUAGGAAGAGUCAGCCAGGGUGCUUACAUUUUAGAGCUUUAUGUUUUUU
rnacentral:lncRNA from 1 species